AUUAUUUCACAAGAAGAGUUCCACUUCACACUUCUCACAUUUCACAAAAAUGAACGAAAGUGGAGACACUACAAUCCACUUAGAUCGUUGGGACGUAGAAAAGAAGAAAGGUGCAUUGACAUUGCUCGAAACUUUGUUAAUAUUGUUGAAGGGUGGCUAGAAUAUAUAAGACCUCAAGCACGAGUGUUCAUAGAAACAAAAAAAAAACCAACACUUGUGAAGCAAAAGGAAGGGCCCCCGACACUUGUACAAAAAGAUUUGACUCCAAAUGAAGAACUCACUCUCAAAUGGAUUAUGCAAAAUCCAUUGCAGUUUCCAUUUGAGGAUGACAUGGAAUGUGCUCAACAAAGUGCAUCUUCAUUGGAUUGCGGCAUGUUC